AAGUCGUAACAAGGUUUCCGUAGGUGAACCUGCGGAAGGAUCAUUAUCAAUUAAACAUAGCAAGUUAGUUUGGCUAAUAUUUUUAGCCUUGCUAGCUUGUCUAUAAACACUUGUGAACCAUUUCAUUGACAGAGUAUUGGUUGCUAAACAAAACAUUUUGCCAAUGAUUUGUUAGCUGACUUGUAAGAAAUUACUUUGUCAAAGGAUAACCUUUUUGGAGGGUAUUUGCUUUAACUUGGCGUGGGUCAAUUGAAGUUGAAAAAAUACUAAACUGAACUUGGCGUGGGUCAAUUCAUUAUGAGUUAUUCUUUGAUUAGAAGUAAUAGACGACUAGUGACGACUCUUUAUUGUUAUUAAUAAAGUGUCAGGCCAAUAGCUUCCGUCGCCCUUGGCUCCU
rnacentral:misc_RNA from 1 species